rnacentral:rRNA from 1 species
GACGAACGCUGGCGGCGUGCUUAACACAUGCAAGUGGAGCGACGAACCAGGGCUUGCCCUGGGGCAGAGCCGCGAACGGGUGAGUAACACGUGGGUUACCUACCCCGAUGACCGGGACAACCCGAGGAAACUCGGGCUAAUACCGGAUGUGGUCUUCGGACGAAAGGAAGCUUCGGCCUCCGCAUCGGGAUGGGCCCGCGGCGCAUUAGCUUGUUGGUGGGGUAACGGCCUACCAAGGCGACGACGGGUAGCCGGCCUGAGAGGGCGACCGGCCACACUGGGACUGAGACACGGCCCAGACUCCUACGGGAGGCAGCAGUGGGGAAUCUUGCGCAAUGGGCGAAAGCCUGACGCAGCGACGCCGCGUGAGGGAUGACGGCCU